CCUACGGGUGGCAGCAGUGAGGAAUAUUGGUCAAUGGGCGCGAGCCUGAACCAGCCAAGUAGCGUGAAGGAUGACUGCCCUACGGGUUGUAAACUUCUUUUAUAAAGGAAUAAAGUGAGGCACGUGAGCCUUUUUGUAUGUACUUUAUGAAAAAGGAUCGGCUAACUCAGUGCCAGAAGCCGGGGUAAUACGUAGGAUCCGAGCGUUAUCCGGAUUUAUUGGGUUUAAAGGGAGCGUAGAUGGGUUGUUAAGUCAGUUGGGAAAGUUUGCGGCUAAACCGUAAAAUUGCAAUUGAUACUGGCAGCCUUGAGUACAGUUGAGGUAGGCGGAAUUCGUGGUGUAGCGGUGAAAUGCUUAGAUAUCACGAAGAACUCCGAUUGCGAAGGCAGCUUACUAAACUGCCACUGACAUUGAUGCUCGAAAGUGUGGGUAUCAAACAGGAUUAGAUACCCCAGUAGUC
rnacentral:rRNA from 1 species